rnacentral:rRNA from 1 species
UGGGGAAUAUUGGACAAUGGGCGCAAGCCUGAUCCAGCCAUGCCGCGUGAGUGAUGAAGGCCUUAGGGUUGUAAAGCUCUUUUGGCAGGGACGAUAAUGACUGUACCUGCAGAAUAAGCCCCGGCCAACUUCGUGCCAGCAGCCGCGGUAAUACGAAGGGGGCUAGCGUUGCUCGGAAUCACUGGGCGUAAAGCGCACGUAGGCGGGUCGUUAAGUCGGGGGUGAAAUCCUGGAGCUCAACUCCAGAACUGCCUUCGAUACUGGCGAUCUUUGAGUCCGGGAGAGGUGGGUGGAACUGCGAGUGUAGAGGUGAAAUUCGUAGAUAUUCGCAAGAACACCAGUGGCGAAGGCGGCUCACUGGCCCGGUACUGACGCUGAAGUGCGAAAGCGUGGGGAGCAAACAG